UACGGAGGGUCCAAGCGUUAUCCGGAAUCAUUGGGUUUAAAGGGUGCGCAGGCGGUAAAGUAAGUCAGUGGUGAAACCUCUCGGCUCAACCGAGAGACUGCCAUUGAUACUGCUAUACUUGAAUAUAGUUGAAGUAGGCGGAAUGUGUAGUGUAGCGGUGAAAUGCUUAGACAUUACACAGAACACCGAUAGCGAAGGCAGCUUACUAAACUAAUAUUGACGCUCAUGCACGAAAGCGUGGGGAGCGAACAGGAUUAGAUACCCUGGUAGUCCACGCCGUAAACUAUGAUUACUCGUUCUCGGCGAUAUACGGUCGGGGACUAAGCGAAAGUGAUAAGUAAUCCACCUGGGGAGUACGAUCGCAAGAUUGAA
rnacentral:rRNA from 1 species